rnacentral:rRNA from 1 species
UACGGAGGGUGCAAGCGUUAUCCGGAUUCACUGGGUUUAAAGGGUGCGUAGGUGGGCAGGUAAGUCAGUGGUGAAAUCUCCGGGCUUAACUCGGAAACUGCCAUUGAUACUAUCUGUCUUGAAUACCGUGGAGGUUAGCGGAAUAUGUCAUGUAGCGGUGAAAUGCUUAGAUAUGACAUAGAACACCAAUUGCGAAGGCAGCUGGCUACACGAAUAUUGACACUGAUGCACGAAAGCGUGGGGAUCAAACAG